AAUAGACCGAAAUAGCCAUUUGAUCCGGUCAUAUUGCCACAAUGGCCUUUGACCAUUAAAAAAAAAAAAGUUUGAAACUUAGAAUAGAAAUUUUCGUUGUCAAAAUUGACCUCAUCUUCGACAAAGAUAGGAGAGGAGAGGAAAAAAGAAAAAAAUUCGCACAAUCUUUACAAUCGGGAUCCUGUCGAAAUUGCCAUCCUCAUAGUCUACAGAACGCCGACCACCAAAAAACUCAAUAAUUAUUUUUAACAAGUAAUUCUGUUUGUUUGAAGCCAAAAUCAUAUGUUAAGUUUUAACUCCAUUUAUUCUCGAAGAGAGAGGAGCAUUGAUUAUUAAGGCAUCUGAUGUUAGGAUCCACUGAUCCAGAAUCUCCUGCCCCUUCCUCGAAAUUAAUGAGGAAAAUGUGCCCAGUGAGAGCCUUCCUCUUGAAUCCAAGUUACAGCUGAAGCUCGAGCAGACUGCGGAUGUAGGCGGCAGAUAAGAUUAGGCUAAGGAGAAAGAGGCUUGUUAGGAACCUUGUGUUAUAAGCAUCUCAACAGUUUCAAAUUCGAGUUCUGCAUAAAUACAUAUACAUUAACAAUAAAGCUUCUUGUACAGCCCUCUCACAAUGUCAGGAGACCCACAUGAAUUUUAUAAUUGUGGACCGCCCUCAGUAUGAGAGAGGUGUAAGGGUGUACGGUAAGCACUACUGAUACAUUAAUGCCGAAAUCACAAAUGGACUAGUUGCAGAAAAUUCUGUCAAUCUCAAUAACACAGAGCAUGUUGCAGAGAGGCCCGACCUGUCAUGCCACAUUUCUUUGUGGACCAUUUUCCCAAGGUGUGGGAGAGGUAAAACAAGCCAAAAAUAUUAUUUUAUACAUCAGGGUUUUGUUUCAGGCAUAUAAGUGAGCCAUAAAUUUCAAUUAUCUGCAAAUAUCAUAAUUAACAGUGAAGUGCAAUACAACAUUCAUGGGGAAAGCAAAAUAUUAAUACAAGAGUCCUUGAUGAAACUGUGCGUAGAAUUUGCAUUCCUACUGUACACUUAUAGUCGGCAGAAUCCAAGAAAACGAGCUCACCAGCAUGUCUCAAUCAUCUCCUUUUUCUGCUAAAUAAUUCGACAAGGUGGGCCCCUAUGGUUGCGAGCUAGAGCUGCCAUAGCUUGUGGCUAGAUCAAAGUGAGAGCCCCAACAGAGGCUACGUUCAUACUGAAGUCUUACACUUGAGAAUGUUUAGUUUGCAGAGAGAGCAUGUUGCACUAAUUUGCAGCCACUUGCUAAUGCAUUUAUGGUGAGAAUGUUGUUUGCAUUGAUAUAUAGAGUAGAGUCAAGGAAGUUUACAGAUAUUUCAUUUCACGAUUCCAGCAAAAUCAGAGAAUUAAAAUUAUUGAAAAUCAUACUAGAAAUCCACGAUAUUUUUGCUCAUUUUA